UGGGGAAUAUUGGACAAUGGGCGAAAGCCUGAUCCAGCCAUGCCGCGUGUGUGAAGAAGGUCUUCGGAUUGUAAAGCACUUUAAGUUGGGAGGAAGGGCAGUAAGCGAAUACCUUGCUGUUUUGACGUUACCGACAGAAUAAGCACCGGCUAACUCUGUGCCAGCAGCCGCGGUAAUACAGAGGGUGCAAGCGUUAAUCGGAAUUACUGGGCGUAAAGCGCGCGUAGGUGGUUCGUUAAGUUGAAUGUGAAAGCCCCGGGCUCAACCUGGGAAGUGCAUACAAAACUGGCGAGCUAGAGUAGGGCAGAGGGUGGUGGAAUUUACUGUGUAGCGGUGAAAUGCGUAGAUAUAGGAAGGAACACCAGUGGCGAAGGCGACCACCUGGGCUCAUACUGACACUGAGGUGCGAAAGCGUGGGGAGCAAACAGG
rnacentral:rRNA from 1 species